rnacentral:rRNA from 1 species
UUCGCUCCUACCGAUUGAAUAGUCCGGUGAAAUCUUCGGAGUYYGACCUCUCCGCGAUCCGGGCAACUGGGUCGUGAGGUUGGGCAAAGUCGAUUAAAUCUUACCAUUUAGAGGAAGGAGAAGUCGUAACAAGGUUUCCGUAGGUGAACCUGCGGAAGGAUCA